rnacentral:rRNA from 1 species
UACACUCCCAACCCCUGUGAACAUACCAAUUGUUGCCUCGGCGGAUCAGCCCGCUCCCGGUAAAACGGGACGGCCCGCCAGAGGACCCCUAAACUCUGUUUCUAUAUGUAACUUCUGAGUAAAACCAUAAAUAAAUCAAAACUUUCAACAACGGAUCUCUUGGUUCUGGCAUCGAUGAAGAACGCAGCAAAAUGCGAUAAGUAAUGUGAAUUGCAGAAUUCAGUGAAUCAUCGAAUCUUUGAACGCACAUUGCGCCCGCCAGUAUUCUGGCGGGCAUGCCUGUUCGAGCGUCAUUUCAACCCUCAAGCCCCCGGGUUUGGUGUUGGGGAUCGGCGAGCCCUUGCGGCAAGCCGGCCCCGAAAUCUAGUGGCGGUCUCGCUGCAGCUUCCAUUGCGUAGUAGUAAAACCCUCGCAACUGGUACGCGGCGCGGCCAAGCCGUUAAACCCCCAACUUCUGAAUGUUGACCUCGGAUCAGGUAGGAAUACCCGCUGAACUUAAGCAUAUCAAAAGCCGGAGGAA